UGCAUUGAUAACCUACCUUUGAGAUGAGGAUAACGACGUUUCGAGCAAUCGAAACUACCGAAAGGGUUGCUAAUACUCAAUAAUACUAUUGAUACUUUGGUGUUGAUAGUCAAAUGUCUGGAGUCGUAAGGCUCCAUUUGCUUAGAGAGGGGUCAAUGUCCUAUCAGGCUAGUUGGUAGGGUAACGGCCUACCAAGGCGAAGACGGGUAGCCGGCCUGAGAGGGUGGUCGGCCACACUGGGACUGAGACACUGCCCAGACUCCUACGGGAGGCUGCAGUCGAGAAUCUUUCGCAAUGCCCGAAAGGGUGACGAAGCGACGCCGCGUGUGGGAAGAAGGCCUUCGGGUUGUAAACCACUGUCGGGAGUUAAGAAAUGUAAGGGUGUUAACAGCAUUCUUACUUGACUAAGGCUCCGGAGGAAGCCACGGCUAACUCUGUGCCAGCAGCCGCGGUAAUACAGAGGCGGCAAGCGUUGUUCGGAAUUAUUGGGCGUAAAGAGCACGUAGGCGGCCUUGCAAGUCAGUUGUGAAAUCCUUCUGCUUAACGGAAGAACAGCAGCUGAUACUACAGGGCUUGAGUGCGGGAGGGGAGAGUGGAACUUCUGGUGGAGCGGUGAAAUGCGUAGAUAUCAGAAGGAACGCCGGCGGCGAAAGCGGCUCUCUGGCCCGUAACUGACGCUGAGUGUGCGAAAGCUAGGGGAGCAAACGGGAUUAGAUACCCCGGUAGUCCUAGCCGUAAACGAUGGGCACUAAGUAGAGGGUUU
rnacentral:rRNA from 1 species